CGGCGGGAGGCGCGGUGUUCCGGCGCUCGGGUGCCGGGCGGCCGUGCCGCGUACGGUAGGCGCGGUGUAUUUUUGGGGUUGGAUUCGUGUUGAUUUCUGGGGGCUUCCAGGUGCGGCCGCUCCCCGAGAAGCGAGACCGUGCUGAGGACGUGGUUGUCUGUCCUUCCCCCGGGGAUGCCGUUGACUGCAGCCGUCUCAGGCUUGCGUGGCUUCUCUCUGCCCGGUGUUGCCAUCCUCGCAGCGCGGGGGCGAAAAGGGACACACAGAGCCCUUCCCGGCUGUGGACAGGAGCUGCCUCGGCUGAAGCUGGAGACGCCAACGAAAGGUGGAGGACGGCCUAGAGUCUGGAGCUGCAGAAGAGGCAGGGCGGAGAGGAGGGGAAAGAAGCAUCUGAACGGCUAAAUUGUGCCAGCAGCGCUGAGAGCGAGAGUCGCGAGACCGUGCUGAGGACGUGGUUGUCUGUCCUUCCCCCGGGGAUGCCGUUGACUGCAGCCGUCUCAGGCUUGCGUGGCUUCUCUCUGCCCGGUGUUGCCAUCCUCGCAGCGCGGGGGCGAAAAGGGACACACAGAGCCCUUCCCGGCUGUGGACAGGAGCUGCCUCGGCUGAAGCUGGAGACGCCAACGAAAGGUGGAGGACGGCCUAGAGUCUGGAGCUGCAGAAGAGGCAGGGCGGAGAGGAGGGGAAAGAAGCAUCUGAACGGCUAAAUUGUGCCAGCAGCGCUGAGAGCGAGAGUCGCGGUGGAGGACGGCCUAGAGUCUGGAGCUGCAGAAGAGGCAGGGCGGAGAGGAGGGGAAAGAAGCAUCUGAACGGCUAAAUUGUGCCAGCAGCGCUGAGAGCGAGAGUCGCGCAGCCCGUCGCUUCAGGAGCCAGGCGACGGACGGUCCCUUCCCUGCCAAACGCGGACAAGUGCGUGCCGUGGUUUAGCCCCAGCUGGCAACUCUGCACCAGGGAGCUGCUUGCUCGCUCCACCCUCAGUGGGCUGGGGGAGAGAGCUGGAAGGGUAAAAGUGAGAAAAAUCAUGGGCUGAGAUCAAGACUGUUUAAUAGAGACCGUGCUGAGGACGUGGUUGUCUGUCCUUCCCCCGGGGAUGCCGUUGACUGCAGCCGUCUCAGGCUUGCGUGGCUUCUCUCUGCCCGGUGUUGCCAUCCUCGCAGCGCGGGGGCGAAAAGGGACACACAGAGCCCUUCCCGGCUGUGGACAGGAGCUGCCUCGGCUGAAGCUGGAGACGCCAACGAAAGGUGGAGGACGGCCUAGAGUCUGGAGCUGCAGAAGAGGCAGGGCGGAGAGGAGGGGAAAGAAGCAUCUGAACGGCUAAAUUGUGCCAGCAGCGCUGAGAGCGAGAGUCGCGUUUGACGCUUCGCUUCAGGCUUCAUGGAGCCAGGCAGCAAGACGUGCGGCGGCAGGGCGAGGGCUGUAGCUGCUGCGGCGGAUCUGUAAGCGGAGGUUCCGGUUCCGGUACAACUUUGCCCCGCAGCCUCACGGGGUUAUCUCCCCGCAGCGGUGCCGUAAGGAAGGGAUGAGACGUUUUCCAGCACCAGCCAGAGCGUUCAGUGUUACGCGAAGAAUCUGUUCAAAAUGGUAUCGGUUAGUCUUAAUACCGUUUUCAAGUGUUCCAAUCCCUCUAGCUUUUAAAGGAGGUGUUGUGUUUUGACGUGACCCGUUUGCCCAGAAUCUUGCUGCGGCUCAAUUUCCUUCCUAUCCCUUAUGUUGACUGAGCUCCUCCAUUUUCUUCUGUGCUAUUUUAUUCACGUGCUGAAAUAUAGGUUGGGAUUUCUGU